rnacentral:rRNA from 1 species
CCUACGGGUGGCUGCAGUGGGGAAUAUUGCACAAUGGGGGAAACCCUGAUGCAGCGACGCCGCGUGAGUGAAGAAGUAUUUCGGUAUGUAAAGCUCUGUCAGCAGGGAAGAAAAUGACGGUACGUGACCAAGAAGCCCCGGCUAACUACGUGCCAGCCGCCGCGGUACUACGUAGGGGGCAAGCGUUAUCCGGAUUUACGGGGUGUAACGGGAGCGUAGACGGCAGGGCAAGUCUGGAGUGAAAGGCGGGGGCUCAACCCCCGGACUGCUCUGGAAACUGGCAGGCUGGAGUGCAGUAGAGGUAAGUGGAAUUCCUAGUGUAGCGGUGAAAUGCGUAGAUAUUAGGAGGAACACCAGUGGCGAAGGCAGGUUACUGGACUGUAACUGACGUUGAGGCGCGAAAGCAUGGGGAGCAAACAGGAUUAGAUACCCCUGUAGUC